rnacentral:lncRNA from 1 species
CUGGCUCUGAUACCAUGUGAGAUUUGUAGAGUUCUCUUCUCUAGUUGUGUUUGUGUGUGUAUAAACUCCAAUGGAGAAAGAUGAGAGCUUGCUCUAGGUGAUUUAGAAAGAGAGAUUGAUGAGAGUGUUUACUUAAAUCAGAAACAAGAGACUUUGAGAGAUUAGAAGAUUAGAGACUAAGAAAGGGGUAGAUUAAGGGAAUCUGAUUCAAGAACACAUUUUCUUAUUUCCAAGAAGUGGAGAGGGGAAAUCCCCCUUACUCCCUUAAGGCUCCAAAUCGCCAUUUACAUGCUUAUUUAUAAGCUCAAUAGGUUUACACAAUCUGAAACCUAAAUCUAAUGGAUAAUAUUAACUUGAGUGAAUGGAUGGUGUAGAUGAGAUGGUCUUCUUGUAAUAUCUGAAGAGUUGUGAGGAUAAGGUUGGCUGUUCACUUUAAUUCAAACCAAGGCAAGCUGGCUCCUUGCUUGUGAUUGGCUCUCCUUAGGCUCCUCCUAAUCUUCCCAUGCAUCUUCCAGGUUCAUGGUCGUGGCUCCCUUCUCUUUACUGCAAGAGACAGCCUGUCCAAGACCAGAACUAGCCAAUCACACACAAGGAAGCUCCCAUUGGUUGUUUGCCUCCACAAAGCAUCUUCUUGAUGCCUUCUUGAUGCCUUCUGUUGAGAAGAGUUGAAUAUACAAGUGAGGAGUAGUAAGGGGUGAAGACUGAAGAGUGUAUGUUAAGCAUUGGGGUGAUGGGAGAGGUUCACAUUGGCAUGACCGUACAAGGCCGUACAAGGCCGUACGGUCCGUACACAUUCAGACAGGUGAAACCUCGACCGCGGUUACAAUAAGUUACCCGAGUAACUUAUGAGAAGAGAAGGGGCUUUGGCUGGCUGAUCAGACCGUUGGAGGAUAAGAGAGGCGCGGCUUUACAGGCUGGCACAGCUGGAAAGGCAAGAGCAUCUUUGUCCAAGAUCCUAGAUGCUCCAAGCAUGUGGGAACACUGAUUGGCCGAGUUAAAGAGAUCUUAUCCUACCCUUGUUGACCUCACAUGCUUAGCUCCUCUUUAUGAUUUCGAAAACCCUAAUGCUCUCUCUAUAUAUAUUGUAACUCUUGUGAUUAAUAAUAAACAUACAGUUCUGAGUCUAUCUCUCUACAUUCAUACUCACUUAAUCAUGAUUCUCACCUAAACUCUUCAUAAUCUCUCAUUCUGUUCCUUAAUCUACUCUAAAUCAUUUCAUUCUCUUAAUCUAAUAUGGUAUCAGAGCCAGGUUGCUCAUAGUCUGGUUUCUAAUCUCAUUAAUCUUCAGCUUCAUUUCAUCUACGGUUGUCCUUUGAAGCAUUUGGAAUGGAGGAAAGCAAGAGCAAGACUCUCUCGGUUGCGGUUACCUUGAAGGGUGGUACUAACUACCUGCUGUGGUCUCGCUUGGUGAAAGCGGCGGUUGGGAGCAAGGGUCUGUGGAGCCAUAUCUCUGGUGGAGCUUCAAGACCAGUUGCUAAUGAAGAAGAAGGCGGUCAAGAGCUGGUGGUGGCAGAUCAAGAGAAGUGGGAUCAGGAUGACUUGAAGGUGCUUACGGUGCUACAUGGGUCACUUGAAGCCUCAAUCUUGGAAGCAUACAGCUACUGUGAGACGCCAAAGGAUCUGUGGGAGACACUCCAAAAGGUCUAUGGUAACACAUCUAACCUGAGCCGUGUGUUUGAGUUGAAGAGAUCAAUCAACACACUUGUGCAAGAGGAGGUAGAGUUUACUAAACACUUGGGAAAGUUCAGAGCCUUGUGGUCAGAGCUAGAGAUGCUGAGGCCCAACACCACUGACCAAGAUGUGCUCAUGGAGAGAAGAGAACAAGAUCAAGUGUUCGGCCUACUACUCACCUUGAAUCCGGUCUUUAAUGAUCUCAUCAAGCACAUCUUGAGGUCACCAAAGCUUCCCUCCCUUGAAGAUGUGUGUGCUCAGAUACAAAAAGAAGAGGGAUCAGUUGGGCUGUUCGGAGGCAAGGGGGAGCUCACACUUGCGAACCAAGCUGAUACUAUCCAGGCAAACAAGGCAGCUUACCGCACUGAAGAAGGGAAGUUUGGAGGGAAGUGUGACCAUUGCAAGAAGCAGGGCCACAAGAGGAGCCAAUGCUGGAUCCUGCACCCUCACCUCAAGCCAGCGAAGUUCCUGAAGGAUAAAGAAGCAAGGGCGCAUCUGUCUGAAGGGGCAAGUGAAGCUGGAACAUCCGGAGCUGGGCAGACAAUGCGAGAUGGUGAAGGAAAGGCCCUAACUACCCAACACACUCCGGGGAAGAGCACUGAUGGUGAGAUGAUAAGGAGAUCAGACAUUGAUGCCCUCAUCAAAGCUCUCAAGGAGAAUGGUAACUGUAUGAACUCUCCUUUAGGAUACUCUCUUGCUGCAUCCUAUGUAGAUAGAACUGAUGGAUAUCUGAGUCAUAGUAUUGAGACUACUAGAGAACCUAGAACUCUAAACAGCUUGAAUGAUUUGCCUAGAACCUUUGCAGCUAGUAAUGUGAUAAAACCAUUGAUUGUAGAUUCAGGAGCUUCUCAUCACAUGAUUAGUGACACUAGUUUGAUUAAAAAUAUAGAACCUGCUUGUGGAAAUGUGAUGAUUGCUAAUGGUGAUAGAAUUGCAAUUAAAGGAAUAGGAAAUCUAAAGCUGUUUGAUAAAGAGUCUAAAGCAUUUUAUAUGCCUGAAUUCACAUCUAAUUUAUUAUCUGUUAAAAGAUGUACUACUGAUUUGCAUUGCAAUGUUAUCUUUAGUCCUAAUGAUGUGAAGUUUCAGGAUAUUGAGACAAGGAAAAUGAUUGGCAAGGGAGUUACCAAAGGAGAGCUUUAUAUGCUAGAAGACAUAGCUCCUGUUUCCAAUUCAAGUUGCUCGUUUAGUUCUACUGCUAGUUUGAAUAAUAAUGCAUUGUGGCAUGCUAGACUAGGUCACCCACAUGUUAGAGCCUUAAGCUUAAUGUUACCAGGUGUCAUGUUUAAAAAUAAUGAAUGUGAAGCAUGUAUCUUGGGCAAACAUUGUAAGACAGUCUUUAAGAACUCAACUACUAUCUAUGAAAAAUGUUUUGAUCUUGUGCAUUCUGAUGUGUGGACUGCUCCUUGCUUGUCUAGGGAAAACUAUAAGUAUUUUGUAACAUUCAUUGAUGAAAAAUCCAAAUACACCUGGUUAACACUCAUUAAGACUAAGGAUAGAGUUCUUGAGGCAUUUAAAAACUUUCAAGCUUAUGUAUCUAACCAUUAUAAUGCCAAGCUUAAGAUUUUCAGAUCAGAUAAUGGUGGGGAAUACACAAGCAAUGCCUUCAAGCAACAUCUAGCCUCACAUGGAAUCCUUCAUCAAACUAGCUGUCCCUACACUCCACAGCAGAAUGGAGUGGCUGAGAGAAAGAAUCGACACCUCAUGGAGGUUGCAAGAUCAAUGAUGUUCCAAACAAAUGUCCCAAAGAGAUUUUGGAGUGAUGCUGUGAUCUCAGCCUGCUACUUGAUCAAUCGGAUUCCCACAAGAGUCUUGCAGGAUCAAUCACCAUUUGAAGUGUUAAACAAACUCAAGCCAUCCCUAAGCCACUUGAGGGUGUUUGGAAGCCUUUGUUAUGUACUGAUUCCGGGAGAUAUGAGGAACAAGCUGGAACCUAAGAGUACUAAGGCUAUGUUUGUGGGGUAUUCCACUACACAAAGAGGAUACAAGUGCUUUGAUCCUCAAACAAGAAGACUCCUAGUAUCAAGAGAUGUGAAGUUUAUAGAGACUAAGGGGUACUAUGAAGAAAGAAGCUGGGAAGAUCUGAAGGAUCUAGCUCAACAAUCUGACAAGGCUGCAAGCCUUAGGAUGAUCUUGGACGGUCUUGGGAUCAAUACAACCCAGGAUCCAAAAGGGCGAGAAGCACCAGUUCAAAAUGAAGCUGAAGACACACCCCAUGCUGAUCAUGAGGGGGGAAACCAGUCUGAUGGAGCUCAUGAGAAUGAAGGGAGCGUAAGUCCUGAUCAACAAGGGAUGCAAAAUGAAGAUGAAACUGAAGAAAGAGAUCAGUUUGAGGUACAACCUGAAAGAGGAGAAGAAGUUCUGAAUGAAGCGGCAACUAGGGAACCAGGAGUGGAGAGUGAUCCACUUAUGGAGACAGUGCCGUUAAGAAGGAGCACAAGAGUGAGGAAGGAUCCAUCUAACUGGACCAAUACCAGAGUCUACUACAAUGCUCAAGCUGUGGCACAUCCUAGUCAAGCUGUGUGUUCAUUUGCUCAAUUUCCAGAUGAACAUCACGCAUUUAUGAUCAGUUUGGAUACAAGCUACAUACCAAGGACAUAUGAGGAGGCAAUGAAAGACAGAGAAUGGAGAGAUUCAGUUGCGGAUGAGGCUGAUGCUAUGAUCAAGAAUGAAACCUGGUAUGAGAGUGAGCUGCCUAAAGGGAAGAAGGCUGUUUCUUGUAAAUGGAUAUUUACAAUCAAGUAUCUACCUGAUGGAAGGAUUGAUAGGAAGAAGACAAGGCUGGUGGCUAGAGGGUUUACUCAAACAUAUGGAGAGGAUUACAUUGAUACCUUCGCACCAGUGGCUAAACUUCACACAAUCAGGAUCAUACUAUCCAUUGCAACAAACCUUGGAUGGGGCUUAUGGCAGAUGGAUGUGAAGAAUGCAUUUCUCCAAGGAGAACUUGAAGAUGAAGUAUACAUGCAUCCUCCUCCGGGACUAGAAAGCAUGGUGAAGCCUGGAAAUGUGUUGAGACUUAAGAAAGCCAUUUAUGGACUGAAGCAAUCUCCUAGAGCAUGGUAUCAUAAGCUGAGCACAACCUUAAAUGGAAGAGGCUUUCGGAAAUCAGAAUUGGAUCACACGCUGUUCACUCUAGUCACACAAUCAGGUAUCAUCUGUCUAUUGGUCUAUGUGGAUGACAUUAUCAUUACUGGAAGUGAUAAGGUUGGAAUCCAAGAGACCAAAGACUACCUUAAAUCUGUGUUUGAAAUCAAGGAUUUAGGGGAAAUGAAAUACUUUCUUGGAAUUGAGAUUUGUAGAUCCAAGGAAGGUUUAUUCAUGUCCCAAAGGAAGUAUACACUUGAUCUUUUGAAAGAUGCAGGUAAACUUGGAGGACAAACUGCUAAGAUGCCAAUGGAGGAUGGGUACAAAGUACCAAGAGAGGGGGAGCUUGAAGACAGCAAGCUGUUCCAUGACCCUAAGCUUUAUAGGAAGCUAGUGGGUAAGCUAAUCUACUUAACUAUCACACGACCUGAUAUCUGUUUUGCUGUGAAUCAGGUUAGCCAGCAUAUGCAAGCUCCAAAGGAUCACCAUUGGAGAAUGGUGGACAGAGUGCUUAGCUAUCUCAACGGAUCACCAGGCCAAGGAGUUUGGAUGGGAUGCAAUGGGAGUACAGAAGUAGUUGGCUAUUGUGAUGCAGAUUGGGCUGGAGAUAGAGCAGACAGAAGAUCUACAACCGGUUACUGCACCUUCAUUGGAGGGAACCUUGUGACUUGGAAGAGCAAGAAGCAGAAAGUAGUCUCCUGCUCAAGUGCUGAAGCUGAGUAUAGGGCAAUGCUGAAGCUUACCAAUGAGUUAGUGUGGAUCAAGGGGAUCUUGAAGCACAUUGAGAUUGAGCAAGCGGCGCCAAUGACAAUGCAUUGCGACAAUCAGGCUGCAAUUCACAUUGCAUCUAACUCAGUAUUUCAUGAGAGAACCAAGCAUAUUGAAGUGGAUUGUCACAAGGUAAGGCAGAUGAUAGUCUUGGGAGUGAUCCUGCCAUGCUACACAAGAAGUGAAGAUCAGUUGGCUGAUGUGUUUACUAAAGCCGCAAGGAUGAAGACAAUGGAGUCCAUCUACAUCAGGUUAGGGCUCAUUGAUCUCUCAGCCAAGAGCUGAUCCCCUUCCUAUGAGGUCUUUACUCUUUUUCCCUCAUCAAAGUUUUGUCCCAAUGGGUUUUCUUUGAUGAGGUUUUUAAUGAGGAAGAUCUCAUAGUGUCCAAGCUUAGACUUCACAAAGCUAAGCUUGAGGGGGAGUGUUGAGAAGAGUUGAAUAUACAAGUGAGGAGUAGUAAGGGGUGAAGACUGAAGAGUGUAUGUUAAGCAUUGGGGUGAUGGGAGAGGUUCACAUUGGCAUGACCGUACAAGGCCGUACAAGGCCGUACGGUCCGUACACAUUCAGACAGGUGAAACCUCGACCGCGGUUACAAUAAGUUACCCGAGUAACUUAUGAGAAGAGAAGGGGCUUUGGCUGGCUGAUCAGACCGUUGGAGGAUAAGAGAGGCGCGGCUUUACAGGCUGGCACAGCUGGAAAGGCAAGAGCAUCUUUGUCCAAGAUCCUAGAUGCUCCAAGCAUGUGGGAACACUGAUUGGCCGAGUUAAAGAGAUCUUAUCCUACCCUUGUUGACCUCACAUGCUUAGCUCCUCUUUAUGAUUUCGAAAACCCUAAUGCUCUCUCUAUAUAUAUUGUAACUCUUGUGAUUAAUAAUAAACAUACAGUUCUGAGUCUAUCUCUCUACAUUCAUACUCACUUAAUCAUGAUUCUCACCUAAACUCUUCAUAAUCUCUCAUUCUGUUCCUUAAUCUACUCUAAAUCAUUUCAUUCUCUUAAUCUAAUACCUUCUUGAUUCCAAACGACCAGGGCCUUCUCCCAACACCCUAAGAUUGCACAAAGCCUCCUUGACAUGUUCUGAUCACGCCCUAAGCUUGCACAUCUUGUCCCGGACUUUGCACAAUCUCAAAACAUCUCAAAUGGACGAGUUGUGAUCUCUCGGGUCGUACCGGUCCGUACAUAUCCGUACAUGGCCGUACAGCCUCGCCCUAUCUUUGCACACUCGCCCAUUUGCUCCUCAACACUCUUCUAAGUCUCUCCUAGACUUUGACCUUGCUUAGAACAUCCAUCAGAUCACUUCUGGACACCUUUAGACUCCUCAUCACUCUUGAUAGGCAAUCUCUAAAGCUCUUGCCCUAUCUUUGUACAAGAUCCAUCUCAACUCAACACCUCUAGCUCCUCCAUUCCUUUCUUCAAGUUAACACU